rnacentral:rRNA from 1 species
GACGAACGCUGGCGGCGUGCUUAACACAUGCAAGUCAGGGAGAACGAGGUAGCAAUAUCUCUAGUAAACCGGCGCACGGGUGAGUAACACGUAGGCAAUUUGCCUUUAGGACGGGGACAACCUCGAGAAAUCGGGGCUAAUACCCGAUAAUGCAGCGGCACCGCAUGGUGAUGUUGUUAAAGGCCCCAAAAGGGCGCCUAUUGAUGAGCCUGCGUCCCAUUAGGUAGUUGGCGGGGUAACGGCCCACCAAGCCGACGAUGGGUAGCUGGUCUGAGAGGAUGAUCAGCCACACUGGAACUGAGACACGGUCCAGACUCCUACGGGUGGCAG